rnacentral:rRNA from 1 species
GACGAACGCUGGCGGCGUGCCUAAUACAUGCAAGUCGAACGCAGUGGGGACGGGUGAGUAACACGUGGGUAACCUCCCAUCAGAGGGGAUAACACUUGGAAACAGGUGCUAAACCGAUACUGAUGGAUGGACCCGCGGUUCAUUAGCUCGUUGGUGGGGUCACGGCUCACCAAGGCCACGAUGCAUCGCCGACCUGGGAGGGUGAUCGGCCAACUGGGUACUGAGACCCGCCCCAGCCUACGACGGGAGGAAGCAGGGGGGAAUCUGCGGCAAUGGAAAAAAUUCUGACCGAGCCACGCCGCGUGGGUGAAUAGGUUUUUCGUAUCGAAAAACUUUUUUGUUAGAGAAGCGGUAUCUAACCAGAAAGCAACGGCGAACUCCGGGCCAGCAGCCGCGGUAAUUC